CCAUCGAGCCAGAUCGCCCCGGGUGGUUCCAUCCAACCAUGUCCGUGGGACUGGUAGCGCUGACCGUUGUAAUUUUAUUACGUAUAAUAUAUUUUAUUUUAUCGACGGUUUCCUUUAACCAGGUCGUGGGGUUUCGUAGCUGCCACUAACCGUGUCACCGUAUUUUGUUUCUCCUCCUUUCCAAUCGUGUGGACACGGCGGCGAGCGAUUGGGAGAACGCGGCAGCGGCGAGCGAUUGGGAGAACGCGGCAGCGGCGACCGCGUGAACGGCCGGCAGCGAGAGGUGGUGAGUGGAAGCUGUGCUCUGCGCGCUGUGUGUCGUCGGCUCCGGCCGUGGUCGUCAGGCUGGAUCGGCGGCAAUGGCGGCGUGGUGCAGGUUGCCAGCGGCGCUACAGAUGGCUUUGGCAUGAUGGUCGGGAAGCGGAACGGGUGGUGGUUGGGGGCGGCAUCGGCAUCAUCGGCAUCAUCGGCCGCCUCUUGCUCUGUCUCCGGAUCCCCUACGUCGAGCACCUCCUGCUCCGUCGCCAGCGCCCCUCCGCCGCCAAGGCCCAACAGGCCAACACUGCCCGCGGCCGAUGCAUGCCCAGAAGUCUAUUUCUAGUAGCAGUCCUGGGUUGGGUUCGGAGGUGGUCAACUGAAAUUGAAACGGCGUCCUGCGGCGGCUGCCACAAUGGCUCUGAACUGGCAUCUAGCCCCUUACAAUUUUACGUCAGGUUGCAGUUUGGGGGAUUCCCAUGGAGAUACCAAUAGUCAAUUCCAAAAGAUAGGAUUCUCCCAAAAAAAUCAAGGGAUGGAAGAUGUAUGCAAGGGACUUGGAGACGAUGAGCCAAUGUUGCAGAGCCAAACAAAUGUCAGCGUUUGUGUUCUUUUUGUAGCUAGCCUGGUGUCGCCCGAGCUGAACCUCCAUGAGCAUGGGUACCCCCAUAAGGCAGAGUUCGUGACCACUCUGUUGUCGGUUGAUUUUCCCUUCAUGUCUUUCUUUCUCACCCUGCAUUUGAUUAUAACCAAAUUUUCAACCUCUCUGCUAUCUUCUUUCAACUGUGCCAUUGAGUGAAGUACUCAUCUUACCUCUGAACUGAUGGAUAUUCUAUACAUAUGGCCUGGCGACAAACCGACGACGACUAUUGUUUUGGCAUGGCACCAAUGGCCUUUUGGGGCAUAAAGCAGUCAGUCCAGAGGACUGCGGCCAGGAUGAUGGCCUUUGUCCCUACGGCGUGAUUAAAAACAAAAGUUUCUUGCAGAUUGCUAAUUAAAACGGCAAGCGCCCCCUAGUUUCCAUUGGCAGUGAAAGGAAAUUAAUCCAAUUGCUCCUGAAACACAAAUAUGUACAACAAAGGUUACCCUCUGCCUAUUUUCAGUUUCUAGAAAAUUCUAGGCCAAAUAUCCCCGGGUUGAUUAAAAAUAAAUGUUAGUAUUAUACUUAUAGUUUUGCUAUGCCCAAAACAGCUGAUCAAAUACUCAAUUCUUCACCUCUGCAUUUGGGGAUUUAAGCUAACAGGCUGACUAGCUUCUAAAUCUUGUUAUAUAUACUGGUGAUGGAGUGACAAUGGACAUCCCUUUUCUCUUCGCUGAUUCAAUUUUUGCCAAUGGAAUUCUACGCUUGCAAAUUAUGUCCAGCUUCUUGAUUGUUAUGGUAAUUCUCUGCCCAUUUUUUCAGGACAGACGGCAAUGUUCAAAAGAUUAAGUGGGAUUGGGGGUGUGUUCUGCUCCUGGGUACACAAUGAAAUGUAGAGCUGCACCGCAUGUGUGGUCUUCAGCGUCAGGCUGCCUAGUACAGUAGAAAUACAACAUCAAAGCAUCGUCGAGUGGAGCUGAUGUAACUAAAUAAUUUUCACCGACUCAUGUAAUUUAUUACAUGUUAACAUAUUAAUUCCUUUAUUUUUGAUAUGUGCGCAAUGCCUGAAAUAUGUAGACGCAUGUGUGCAUGGACACAUUGGAGUUCAUA